rnacentral:misc_RNA from 1 species
GGAAGUAAGAGUCGUAACAAGGUUUCCGUAGGUGAACCUGCGGAAGGAUCAUUCAUAAUAAGUGUUUUACUGCACUUUUUAAAAAUAGUACUCACCUUGUGUGCAAUGUUGUGUUUCUUUUCGGAGAAACACCUACACCAACCUAUAACCUUGAACCACUUUGUCUGAAAAACUAUUAUGAAUACUUAAUUCAAAAUACAACUUUCAACAACGGAUCUCUUGGCUCUC